UACUAGGGGUGCGAGCGUUGUCCGGAAUCACUGGGCGUAAAGGGUCCGUAGGCGUCUCAAUAAGUCACUUGUUAAAGACACCGGCUUAACCGGUGGCCUGCAUGUGAAACUGUUGAGAUAGAGUAUAGGAGAGGAAAGUGGAAUUCCUGGUGUAGCGGUGACAUGCGUAGAUAUCAGGAGGAACACCAAUGGCGAAGGCAACUUUCUGGCCUAUUACUGACGCUGAGGGACGAAAGCGUGGGGAGCGAAC
rnacentral:rRNA from 1 species